GUGCUGUGUUCGGUAACAGGAGUCACCUGGUAUGAAGGAUAUGGAUUUGGGAGAAAUGAUCUUAUCAGACAACUUGACCUGAUAAACCAAAUGGAGAUAGACAGAAAAGACUAAUUCUCAUUUGUGUGAUUUUGAAGGGCUGCCUUAAGUCUGGUACCACCAAUCAAAACACAAAUUGGGAGAUUGAAUAACACAGCACUUCCAUUUAGAAAGGCACCUGAGAUAGCAGAGAAUAAAAUGAAACUAAAAAAUUCUUCUUCUCAAGAAGCUUCAUCCUAAUAGAGAUGGACAGUUAAUGAAGAAUGAAUAGAUUUUGUGCUGAGAACUCUCCCACAUCGUGCUGCUAGACACAGAUUCCAUGACUAAAUAACAGAGGACUUUUGCGUUUGUGCAAGUUCUCCCCUGCAGAAGACAAUAAUGAUAUAGGCAUUUAAACAAAGAGGCUUGGAUUGAGAAGAAAACUAUCAACUACUGAAAUUGUCUAAGAGGAAGGAAAAAGGAAUUCAGAAGCUUAUGGAUGAAGAAGGUAUCUU